rnacentral:rRNA from 1 species
UACGAACUGUGCAACCGUUAUUCGGAAUCACUGGGCUUACAGGGUGCGUAGGCGGUCUGUUAAGUAGGGUGUGAAAGCCCCCGGCUCAACCGGGGAAUUGCGCCCUAAACUGGCGGACUGGAGUGAGAUAGGGGUGUGCGGAACUUCCGGUGGAGCGGUGAAAUGUGUUGAUAUCGGAAGGAACGCCGGUGGCGAAAGCGGCACACUGGAUCUCAACUGACGCUGAGGCACGAAAGCCAGGGGAGCGAACGGG